UGGGGAAUAUUGGACAAUGGGGGCAACCCUGAUCCAGCAAUGCCGCGUGUGUGAAGAAGGCCUUCGGGUUGUAAAGCACUUUUAUCGGGAACGAAACAUUGUCGGCCAAUACCCGGCAAGACUGACGGUACCCGAGGAAUAAGCACCGGCUAACUCCGUGCCAGCAGCCGCGGUAAUACGGAGGGUGCAAGCGUUAAUCGGAAUUACUGGGCGUAAAGCGUGCGCAGGCGGUUUGUUAAGUCCGUUGUGAAAGCCCCGAGCUCAACUUGGGAAUUGCAGUGGAUACUGGCAGGCUGGAGUACGGUAGAGGAAGGUGGAAUUCCCGGUGUAGCAGUGAAAUGCGUAGAGAUCGGGAGGAACACCAGUGGCGAAGGCGGCCUUCUGGACCAGUACUGACGCUCAUGCACGAAAGCGUGGGGAGCAAACA
rnacentral:rRNA from 1 species